GUGCAGCCUGGGUUGGAGCAUGACAUACAUAUUCGAGGACGAAGUCGAGGACGCGGUCGUGGACGCGGAUGUGGACGUGGCAGGGGACGAGGGCGAGAGCAUAGGAGGGGGAUGGAGGGGACUUGAUGUUUUUUUAUCAUUUUUGAGAUUAUUAUGUAAAUUUGAUAUUCAGAUCUUUCUAUAUUGAUUUUUGUAGUAUUAUCUAAAUUUAUCCAUAUUGAAAUGUGUUAAUAUUGGUAUAGCUCAUUUUAUCUGCUUAAAGUGUGGUUGAAGUUGGUAUAGAUGAUUUUAUGUAAUUAUUUCUGUAAUUAAAAUGCUUGAAAAUAUUGCUUUUUUGUAUAAUGUGAGAAUUUUGCAUAGUUGCUGUUGGUUUGUUGCUGUACAGCUUGAAUGCGGUGAACCAUUCACCGCAUUUAAAUGCGGUGAACCAUUCACCACCUUUAUAAGCGGUGAA
rnacentral:lncRNA from 1 species